GUCUGUUGCAGGCUGGCCUGGUAGCUCUCCUACACCACUUCCCUUCCAGCGGCAACCCAGGGGCCAGGCUGCAUCCAGCUUAACACUGCCAUGUUGGAGUUGAGUGCUUUGUGUUUAAUCAGCUAGCCUUAGGAGAGAGUCAACAUGCAGAAGUCACACUUGAUUUUAACUGCUAUACCAGAAGGGACACCUCAUCUCCCCUACAUUCCAUUGCUGACAGAGAGAGGAGAAGCAGCUGGACAUCAGAGACUAUAGCUGGAUGUCGGGGAGAAGCGGCUUGAUUCCAGAGGGACAGCUUGACCGUGUAACUUGGGAGAAGAAUCUGGUUGGAGACUCCUGGACUUCAGGAGAAGAUUACCUUCCAGCUCUGUCCCCUUUUCAGCUCCCCUUCCCACUGACAGCCAUGCCCAUCGGCAAUAAAAUUUCC
rnacentral:lncRNA from 1 species